CUUGCCUAUAGAAAUUCUUCGGAAUGGACAUAGAUACAAGCUAGCGGCGGAUGGGUGAGUAACGCGUGGGUAACCUGCCCUUAAGUCUGGGAUACCAUUUGGAAACAGAUGCUAAUACCGGAUAAAAGCUACUUUCGCAUGAAAGAAGUUUAAAAGGCGGCGUAAGCUGUCGCUAAAGGAUGGACGUGCGAUGCAUUAGCUAGUUGGUAAGGUAACGGCUUACCAAGGCGAUGAUGCAAAGCCGAGUUGAGAGACUGAUCGGCCACAUUGGGACUGAGACACGGCCCAAACUCCUACGGGAGGCAGCAGUAGGGAAUCUUCCACAAUGGACGAAAGUCUGAUGGUGCAACGCCGCGUGAGUGAAGAAGGUUUUCGGAUCGUAAAGCUCUGUUGUUGGUGAAGAAGGAU
rnacentral:rRNA from 1 species